GUGAACGCUGGCGGUAGGCCUAACCCCUGCAAGUCGCACGGCAGCACAGUAAGAGCUUGCUCUUACGGGUGGCGAGUGGCGGACGGGUGAGGAAUACAUCGGAAUCUACUUUUUCGUGGGGGAUAACGUAGGGAAACUUACGCUAAUACCGCAUACGACCUACGGGUGGAAGCAGGGGAUCUUCGGACCUUGCGCGAUUGAAUGAGCCGAUGUCGGAUUAGCUAGUUGGCGGGGUAAAGGCCCACCAAGGCGACGAUCCGUAGCUGGUCUGAGAGGAUGAUCAGCCACACUGGAACUGAGACACGGUCCAGACUCCUACGGGAGGCAGCAGUGGGGAAUAUUGGACAAUGGGCGCAAGCCUGAUCCAGCCAUACCGCGUGGGUGAAGAAGGCCUUCGGGUUGUAAAGCCCUUUUGUUGGGAAAGAAAAGCAGCAGGUUAAUACCCCGCUGUUCUGACGGUACCCAAAGAAUAAGCACCGGCUAACUUCGUG
rnacentral:rRNA from 1 species